rnacentral:misc_RNA from 1 species
GGUACCUGAAGAAAAAGCAUCGGCUAACUCCGUGCCAGCAGCCGCGGUAAUACGGAGGAUGCAAGCGUUAUCCGGAAUCAUUGGGCGUAAAGGGUCCGCAGGUGGCGAAUAAAGUCUGCUGUUAAAGACCGGGGCUUAACUCCGGAAAGGCAGUGGAAACUGAUUAGCUAGAGUACGGUAGGGGUAGAGGGAAUUCCCAGUGUAGCGGUGAAAUGCGUAGAUAUUGGGAAGAACACCGGUGGCGAAAGCGCUCUACUAGGCCGAAACUGACACUGAGGGACGAAAGCUAGGGUAGCGAAAGGGAUUAGAUACCCCUGUAGUCUUAGCGGUAAACGAUGGAUACUAGGUGUAGCUUGUAUCAACCCGAGCUGUGCCGAAGCUAACGCGAUAAGUAUCCCGCCUGGGGAGUACGCACGCAAGUGUGAAACUCAAAGGAAUUGACGGGGGCCCGCACAGGCGGUGGAGUAUGUGGUUUAAUUCGAUGCAACGCGAAGAACCUUACCAGGGCUUGACAUGUCGCGAAUCUAGCGGAAACGUUAGAGUGCCUUAGGGAAUGCGAACACAGGUGGUGCAUGGCUGUCGUCAGCUCGUGUCGUGAGAUGUUGGGUUAAGUCCCGCAACGAGCGCAACCCUCGUCCUUAGUUGCCAAUAUUAAGUUAGGCACUCUAGGGAGACUGCCGGGGACAACUCGGAGGAAGGUGGGGAUGACGUCAAGUCAGCAUGCCCCUUACGUCCUGGGCUACACACGUACUACAAUGGUUGGGACAAAGGGCAGCAAGCUCGCGAGAGUAAGCGAAUCUCAUCAAACCCAGCCACAGUUCAGAUUGCAGGCUGCAACUCGCCUGCAUGAAGUAGGAAUCGCUAGUAAUCGCAGGUCAGCAUACUGCGGUGAAUUCGUUCCCGGGCCUUGUACACACCGCCCGUCACACCAUGGAAGCUGGCUACGCCCGAAGUCGUUACCCUAACCCGGUUUUGGGAGGGGGAUGCCGAAGGUAGAGCUAGUGACUGGGGUGAAGUCGUAACAAGGUAGCCGUACCGGAAGGUGUGGCUGGAUCACCUCCUUUACAGGGAGACCUAGUCUAAUUACCAAUAGAUGAAAAAGUUGGUAAUUCGCAAGAAUCCUUAGGUCGUGAAGGGAGCAAGAAAAAACUUUCAAACUGUAAUGGGUGAGGGUCAAUGGGCUAUUAGCUCAGGUGGUUAGAGCGCACCCCUGAUAAGGGUGAGGUCCCUGGUUCAAGUCCAGGAUGGCCCACCUAAAAUACACAGGCAUCCUGCCUGUGUCACAAAAAAAGGAAAAAGUUAUGGCAUUGUCUCUUGUAAUCAAGAGCAAGAGAUAAUGCUGGAAUAGAUUCCAGCAAGAA